UACAGGAGGGGCAAGCGUUGUUCGGAUUCACUGGCGUAAAGGGUGCGUAGGUGGUUGGGUAAGUCUGAUGUGAAAUCUCCGGGCUCAAACCCGGGAAAUGGCCAGUUGGAUACUAUUCGGCGUAGAGGUUUGGAGGGGGACUGGAAUUCUCGGGUGUAGCAGUGAAAUGCGUAGAUAAUCGAGAGGAACACCAGUGGCGA
rnacentral:rRNA from 1 species